AAUGCAUUCUGAAGCAACCCAGAUGUCACCAUCUGAUCUAACUAUAUUUGGUUUGCAGAAGGAACUGCUGAAAUGUAAACAAGAAGCCAGAAACUUACAGGGGAUAAAGGAUGCCUUGCAGCAGAGAUUGACUCAGCAGGACACAUCUGUUCUUCAGCUCAAACAAGAGCUACUGAGGGCAAAUAUGGACAAAGAUGAGCUGCACAACCAGAAUGUGGAUCUGCAGAGGAAGCUAGAUGAGAGGAACCGGCUCUUGGGAGAAUAUAAAAAAGAGCUGGGGCAGAAGGAUCGCCUCCUUCAGCAGCACCAGGCCAAGUUAGAAGAAGCACUCCGGAAACUCUCUGAUGCCAGUUACCACCAGGUCAGAACAUAUUCAGCCACUGACUUUCCUGCCCCUUUGGCCCAAAGAAAUCCUUUUCUGAUUUAGUGUCUGUUUUGCAGGUGGAUCUAGAGCGAGAGCUAGAACACAAAGAUGUCCUCUUGGCUCACUGUAUGAAAGGAGAGGCAGAUGAGGCGACCGACUACAACAGUCACAACUCUCAAAGCAAUGGUUUUCUCCUUCCAACGGCAGGAAAAGGAGUUGCUUCAAUCAGCAACAGAGGGACCAGCGACCUGCAGCUUGUUCGAGAUGCUCUCCGCAGCCUGCGCAACAGCUUCAGUGGCCACGAUCCUCAGCACCACACUAUUGACAGCUUGGAGCAGGGCAUUUCUAGCCUCAUGGAGCGCCUGCAUGUUAUGGAGAUGCAGAAGAAACAAGAAAGAAAGGUUCGGGUCAAGUCACCCAGAACUCAAGUAGGUAGUGAAUACCGGGAGUCCUGGCCCCCUAAUUCAAAGCUGCCUCACUCACAGAGCUCUCCAACUGUCAGCAGCACCUGUACUAAAGUGCUCUAUUUCACUGACCGGUCACUUACGCCCUUCAUGGUCAAUAUACCAAAGAGGUUGGAGGAGGUGACAUUAAAGGAUUUUAAAGCAGCUAUUGAUCGGGAAGGGAAUCACCGGUAUCACUUCAAAGCACUGGAUCCUGAGUUUGGCACUGUCAAAGAGGAGAUUUUCCAUGAUGAUGAUGCCAUCCCUGGAUGGGAAGGGAAAAUUGUAGCUUGGGUGGAAGAAGACCAUGGAGAGAAUUAAUGCCAAGUAUCAGAUUGAGGGCUUAUGGAACCUGGUCACUCCCUGGCUGCUUCACUCAGGAAAGGGAACUAAAACCAGAAUACACUAAGAAGUUUCUAGUUUGUAUGCCAAAACAGAAGCUUCUCCAAGCAUGAUGGCCACAGGUCAGUCCUAUUUCUGUGCCUGGCAUAUCUGGUACUUAAAAUUCUGUCCAAAUGUAGACCAUGGGUUCAUCUGGAGUUCCUUGUCCGUGGGAACACAGUGUUCUAUUCUACUCUGAGGACAACAAACCGAAGGCCUUAAACGAUGGGGAUGGAUGAUCC
rnacentral:sRNA from 1 species